CAGUCGCCACGGUAAUACGUAGGGUGCGAGCGUUAAUCGGAAUUACUGGGCGUAAAGCGUGCGCAGGCGGUUAUAUAAGACAGAUGUGAAAUCCCCGGGCUCAACCUGGGACCUGCAUUUGUGACUGUAUAGCUAGAGUACGGUAGAGGGGGAUGGAAUUCCGCGUGUAGCAGUGAAAUGCGUAGAUAUGCGGAGGAACACCGAGGGCGAAGGCAAUCCCCUGGACCUGUACUGACGCUCAUGCACGAAAGCGUGGGGAGCAAACAGGAUUAGAUACCCCCGUAGUCCCUGUCUCUUAUAA
rnacentral:rRNA from 1 species